rnacentral:lncRNA from 1 species
CGCCAUCCCAUCUAGGAAGUGAGGAGCGUCUCUGCCAGGCCGCCAUCCUGUCUAGGAAGCGAGGAGCGUCUCUGCCCGGCCGCCCAUCGUCUGGGAUGUGAGGAGACCCUCUGCCUGGCUGCCCAGUCUGGAAAGGGAGGAGCGCCUCUUCCCGGCCGCCAUCCCAUCUAGGAAGUGACCAGCGCCUCUUCCCGGCCGCCAUCCCUUCUAGGAAGUGAGGAGCGUCUCUGCCCGGCCGCCCGUUGUCUGAGAUGUGGGGAGCGUCUCUGCCCGGCCGCCCCAUCUGAGAGGCUGCAGUGUGGUGGUGCGAUCUCAGCUCACUGCAACCUCUGCCUCCUGGGUUCAAGUGAUUCUCCUGCCUCAGCCUCCCAAGUAGCCAGGAUUACAGGUACGUGCCACCACGCC